ensembl:snRNA U4 U4 spliceosomal RNA
AGCUUUGCACAGUGGCAGUAUUGUACCCAAUGAGGUUUAUCUGAGGCGUGAUUAUUGCUAAUUGAAAACCCAGUGUCCAUAACUC